CAAAAAAAAAAAAAAGUACGUCAAUCUGUUGGUUUCCAUGAGAUUUGGACAGAGGCAAACAACACGGCAGAAAGGAGUCCAGGAAGGUACAGCUUUCGCUUCUUUCCUUCUGAGGAGGAAAUGACUUCCUACAGCUAGCUGAUCAGGAGUUAGCGCUCACUCUGCUUGGAGCCAGGACCUGGAGCAUACCCAGAUGUGGACCAAAACACAGCUUCAGCUCACCCAACAGAUGAAACUGACAGAAUGAAACCAGAGAAACUUUAGCAACCAAAGAAAGCAGCCUUCCAAGGAUCAAGCUUGAUGCAAAUGAAUCCUUUGACCCUGGAAGCCACACGUUGAAAAUGGAGGGGCCACAGCAUGGAAAAAGUCCCUGAAUCAUUGCCUAGAGGAGAGUUAAGACAAGUUUUGAACUUCAUGAGAAAGAAAAUAAACUUCUAUUGUGUUUAAACCAUUAUUCAUUUUAAGAGUUGACUGUAACAAGAGCUUGUAUUAUCGUAACCAGUGCAUUAUUGUUACAUGUAUUCUUCCAAAUUGUCUGAAAUAAAUUGACUAUGGAUUGGC